rnacentral:lncRNA from 1 species
UCCACCUUCUACAUAUUAGCUAAAAGAAAGAACACCUUUUUUCUCCGAGGCUCAAAUCAAGGUUCUAAGGAUAAGGAUUUAAAGGUAGGCUUGAAAGGCUCAAACGGUUCAAAGAAGGCCCAAAUCAUAUCCCAAAUCACUCAUUACCCAACACUUCGUUUCAUAAAUGUCCUAAGGUGAGAUUUAAAACCGAACAAAGCAUGAUUGAGCACAAAUAAAUUCCAAAUUUAAAAUGCAAAACAUUCAACCAAAGCAACGCACAAGGUGUGAUUCCUAGCAAUAAUUCACUUCUACGUUCCGUUGAAUCGAAAGCUAGACAAAUACAUACUCCUUAUCAACAUAAAACAAGUAGUUUCAUCAUCAAACAUUGACCAUCUACCAUCAUCGUAAUUCAUCGAUGCAUCGAACAAUUUUUUUUUUUUUUUUUUUUUUUUUUUUUUUUUGGUUUUUUU